GACGAACGCUGGCGGCGUGCUUAACACAUGCAAGUCGAACGGAAAGGCCCUGCUUUUGUGGGGUGCUCGAGUGGCGAACGGGUGAGUAACACGUGAGUAACCUGCCCUUGACUUUGGGAUAACUUCAGGAAACUGGGGCUAAUACCGGAUAGGAGCUCCUGCUGCAUGGUGGGGGUUGGAAAGUUUCGGCGGUUGGGGAUGGACUCGCGGCUUAUCAGCUUGUUGGUGGGGUAGUGGCUUACCAAGGCUUUGACGGGUAGCCGGCCUGAGAGGGUGACCGGCCACAUUGGGACUGAGAUAAGGCACAGACUCCUACGGGAGGCAGCAGUGGGGAAUAUUGCACAAUGGGAGGAAGCCUGAUGCAGCAACGCCGCGUGCGGGAUGACGGCCUUCGGGUUGUAAACCGCUUUCGCCUGUGACGAAGCGUGAGUGACGGUAAUGGGUAAAGAAGCACCGGCUAACUACGUG
rnacentral:rRNA from 1 species